rnacentral:lncRNA from 1 species
GAACUGUGAUGCGACUCAAGGUAAGUUCCACUGAACCCAUUGGCAGGUUUGAGGCUGGGGCUAGGCAUUUGAUCCCCACUUUGAUUUGCUUUUGGAUAUGAGUUGCCCCUAAGGAGAACAAUGGCCUGGGACACAGCUCCAGCUAAAAUCAGUGUCUUUAGAGGAGCUCAGGCCCUUUCUUCUUCCAGGAACUCCUAGCAGCCAGGAGAGUCAGUGCCUUAAUGCUGAUGGGGGGAGUCGAGUUGGUUCUGUAUUGGGCACCAGCAUUGCUCUCAUUGUUCUUGUAUGUUUUUAUUAUCUACUUCCUGAUAUCUCUCAUCUUCUGGACUCUCAUCUCUCUCUGGCAUCUCACUUUGUCUCCCUCAACUCUCCAGUUCUGUCCCUCAAGUACUCUGGAAUUCACAAUUUGUAUCAGCAACACAUUCUCUAGUUUCAAAAUGUUCCCUGAACAUUCCCUCAUCUUGGCAAAAAUUCUUAAUGUGUUUAAAGGAGCCUCCAAUGAAUAGCUUCAUCAACCAGCUUCUGAAUCAAUUGAGAAAUAAAACAAAAAGUAACUAUGAGGGCUAAAAUGCUACCUUUAUUAGCAAUAGAGCCAGGUAGGAGGGUGUGAUCUUAGGUAUGUUAACCCCAUCUAUUUAAUAACAUUGCUCCAGAGAACUAGAGGCCUGGAUGAUAACAGCACUGGACCACACAUACAGCCCCAUCUUUUCUAAAGCCCUCAGUUCAGAAGCACUAUAAAUCUGGAAUGGCCCCACAGACCCAUAUGUUAGAGAUUUGGUGCCUAUCUUGGUUCUAUGUGGAAGUGAUAGAAAUUUUAAGAGGAAGGUCGUUAGGUUCACCCCUUUGAAGGGAAUAUUGAGACCCAAUGUCUUCCUUUCUUCUUUUUUUUCCCAGACAUGAGAGGAGUGGUUUUGCUGUGCUGUGUGCUGUACCUGCCAUGAUGUGCUGCCUGUGAUCAUGGACCGAAACCUCAAAAACUGUGAACCAAAAUGAAGAUUUUCUCAUUAAGUUGAUUAUUUCAGGCAUUUAUAAUAACAGCACAAAGCUUUAACAAAAGUAGUCUUCAAUAAUUUUCUUAUCGCAUGGAGAUUACUGGGGACCCUAUUUAGAAAUGGGUGAUACACAGGCAUAAUUAGAAGAAGGAAGAAGAGGAGGAAGAGAGGAGAAGAAGAGGAGGAGGAGGAGGAAGAUAAAGAGGAGGAGGUCCUUAGCUCUGCAUUUUUUUCAUAGCACAAUUACUGUCUGACAUAUUAUAUAUUCAUUUGUUUAUUUACUUAUUCCCUAUGUCCCUCUCCACAAAUGUAAGCUCCUUGAAAGCAAGGCUUUCAAGAUAAGUUGAAUUGUUCAACAAUUGUUCAAUGGCUUGGAGAUAAGUUGUCCCUCAAAAGCUCCUGUGCUAAUGCAGGAGUAUUCAGAGGUGAAAUGAUUAGAUUAUGACAGCUGUCGCAUAGUCAGUCCAUCUGUUUGAAUGGACUGACUGGGUGGUAACAUAGGCAGAUGGUGCAUGGCUGAAGGAGGUGGGUUAGUGGUGGUAUGCCCUGGAAGGGUGUCUUUCCCUCUCCUCCUCUCUUCCCGUCUCCCCUCCCCACCCUGUCCUCCUUCUCCUUUCUGGCAGCCAUGCUCCCAGCCCUCUACCUCUUCCUCCAUACCCUUCUGCCAUGAUGCUCCUCCUCACCUGACUCAGCCAUGGAAUCAGCAGGCCAUGAACUAAACCUCUGAAACCUUGAGCCCGAAAUAUACUUUUCCUCCUCUAAGUUGGUCUUGUCGGGUAU